GGGCCCCGCAAAUUCUCUCGCUGUUUUGAGGGGGGGACCUAUCCCUGGGAAAAAGGUGUCUGGCGUUAGCUAAGUAGAUCAAUAGGGCGCAUUGCGGCUCAAUGGGUUACUAGAUACAUUGUCAGAUUUUUGGGUUAACUAUGCAUGCAAUUUACCGUCCCAUCUACAAAGCCCCAACAAUUAUCUAACGCUGCUCCUUUUCUGUGAACUGCUUCACAAUAUAUUCCCAAG